AAGGCAACUGUCUGCGGAAAGCCAAUUAGAGGGAUGCUGAAGAAAAGGGAGCGAGGUUCGCUGCAGUUGCAGUGUAUCUGACUCUGCCUGAUUGCCCCCCCCCAUAUCUGUCUUUGUAUCUACUGUAACUUGGCAGGAAUUAGAGGAUAUCCGGCUACGUGGGGGUCAUCAAAUCCUCCCAUUCACAAGCCUUCUUUCACGUUGGCACAUCACUGUGCCGAUUGUGCCAGACUGCUGUUUAACAGCUGAUCAACAGCGGCUGUGGCAGUGUGGAGGAUUAAGGCCCUCAGCUCAGGACCCUACAGGCCCGGAGCCCCAACACAGAGGACUGUGCACUAAAACGCACUCCACGUUUUCUGCCUCGAAGCAAGACAGGGAGAGGUGGGGGCAUGAGGCCGGACCAUAAAAAGGAUCAAACACGGAGCAGAGAGCACACUGCGGAGUAGACAGGUUGCUGGAAGCAUAUCUGCAGGGUAAACCUCUGCUGACCCCGGUGUGCAGCUGCUAUUUUGAGUCACUGAAACAUUUGCCGUGGUUCCUCGCAGUAAUUCAAGCGCUGACUCAAGUCCCGCGCUGUCACCUACCUCGGUCGGUGUCGUAGAGGUA